rnacentral:tmRNA from 1 species
GGGGUUGUUUGGUUUUGACAGCGGGAGAUGUGGUAUGUAAGCAUGCAGUGCGUCAGUGAUUUGCACUAUAAUCUCAGUUACUAAACAAUUAUCUGGCAACGAAAACUAUGCUCUCGCUGCUUAAUCGAAGUACAGUAGAUUAACUUUAUUUCCGUCAGAGUGAUGGAAACGAGACAUCGCUCAAAAGCUCUUGUUCCGAAGCGUUUGAUAAAGCGGUGCAGCAAAAUCGGGAAUAGUUUCAGGCUCGUCUCGUGCUUGAAAUGAAUUUUUAGAGACUAAGGUUCAGGUUGGUGGCUCUGGUCUUGCCUGUACACGAAAAUAAAAGGCAGAGAUAAGCAUGUAGAAAGCGUAUGGCUUCCUCGUUUGGACGAGGGUUCGACUCCCUCCAGCUCCAC